UUUAUCUAUGAGUCUUGACCAAAUCAUGUGCCAGCCGUCGCGGUAAGACAUGGAAGACAAGUGUUAUUCAUAUUGAAUGGGUUUAAAGGGUACUCAGACAGUUAAUUAAGCCUACGUAAGGGACUGAUUAUACUAGAGUUUAAUGUAAGAAGGCUAGAACGGUAUGUGGAGAGAUAAAAUAUAUUGAUACAUGCUAAAAUCUGACAAGGGCGAAGGCAAUCUUCUAUGUAAAAACUGACGUUAAAGGACGAAGGCUAUAUAAAAUUAAUAGGAUUAGAUACCCUAGUAUUCGUAGCAGUAAAUGAUGAGUGUCAUAGGUAAGUGAAAUAAUUUACUUAUAAAUGAAAGUGUAAGCAUUCCACCUUAAGAGUAAAACGGCAACGUAGGAACUGAAAUCAUUAGACCGUUUCUGAAACCAGUAGUGAAGUAUGUUAGUUAAAUUGAUGAUCCACAAAGAACCUUACCACAAUUUGAAUGUUAAUUCACAGGAGUUGCACGGCUGUCUUCAGUUGAUAUCGUGAGAUUUUGGUUAGCUCCAUUUAAUCAACGUAAACCCUUACUUUAAUUUAUACAUAAAGUAGUUCUCCAUUAUAUUGG
rnacentral:rRNA from 1 species